rnacentral:RNase_P_RNA from 1 species
UCGGCGUACCGGAUAGUUGCCUCGUCGUCAAUGGCGGGGAGGAAAGUCCGAACACGCCUCGCCGCGCAAGCGGCGAGAGCAGGGUAGCGGGUAACGCCCGCCUGGGGAAGCCCACGGGAUGCGAGCAGAGACGUCCGGAGCGAGAGCGAAGGACAUCUCCCGGCCGACACGGUCGAGAGAUGAGCUUUCAUGGCGACAUGAGAGGUGAAACGGCUAAAUUCCUACCCGCGUGCAAGGCCGUGUCUUUUCUGGAGGCAUAUGCCCGGAAGAGAAGUGCCGCUUGAGAUGUAUGGCAACAUGCAUCCCAGAUAAAUAGCUAUCGUCCCGUACGGACAGCUUCGUCCGUACGGGAUACAGAAUUCGGCUUAUAGGUACAUCGAGCGA